rnacentral:rRNA from 1 species
UACAGAGGUCUCGAGCGUUGUUCGGAUUCAUUGGGCGUAAAGGGCGCGUAGGCGGCGGGGUAAGUCUGGUGUGAAAUCUCGGGGCUCAACCCCGAAACUGCACUUGAUACUGCGAUGCUCGAGUACUGGAGAGGAGAUUGGAAUUUACGGUGUAGCAGUGAAAUGCGUAGAUAUCGUAAGGAAGACCAGUGGCGAAGGCGAAUCUCUGGACAGUUACUGACACUGAGGCACGAAGGCCAGGGGAGCAAACGGG